UGAACUAAGUGUAUUUGUAUCAGAAAAUCUAUUUUGAUAUAUAAGAAUGUGUCGCAUAGCUGUGCAAGAGGCGAAUGCAAGCCCAUGUUGUGCCGCCUAGAGUGUGAUUUUGGUGCCAUGGCUGACCGAAAGGAGUGAGUGGGCGUGGUGGCCGUGGGUGUGGUACUUGAUGCAUGUAUGUUAUUGUUAAACCCAUUGAAAUUAGUUGUAGGUGAUAAGUUGUGCGUUUGAUUUCUGCAUGAAUUAUGUGUACUGAUGAUAAAUUAAUGAUAAUUUCAACUUAAUAUUUCAAGAAAAAAAAAACAGGCGGGAGUUAAAGCAUGUUUAAUUCCAGCCUCAUUUUUUUUCAUGGUGUACAAGCACAGACCAUGCAUUGACUGCUGCCUGGUACUGGUAUUAAAAUGAAUAGAUACAUGACUAUGUCUAUAUUCUGUUGUUUUGUGUCAUCAUAUCAAUAAGCUGUCUCAUCAAUUCACAUGAUGUACACAAUAAUGGGUCCCUGUUUUAUUAUGUUUACUAGGAGGGAGAUUAUUUUGUAAAUGUGAUUUUAAAUGUAGUAGAAAUUCAGAUAAUGUCAGAGACUUGCUUUUUAACUUUCCAAUAUAUUUAAUGUUAAUAUAUUCUAUAAUUCUAAGCAGUGGAGUACAUUUCUAGCUACUGUUGCAGCUCCAGCUGUCUGAUCUCGCAUUCUCGGAUCUGCAAACAAGUUUGAGACAUCAUGUCUGAUGAGGAAUGUGCACAGAGGUUGCCAUCAUCAUCACCGGUAUCUUCACCAUCUUCAAUCUUUGAAUGUGCACAGAGGUUGCCAUCAUCAUCACCGGUAUCUUCACCAGUAUCUUCAGUGACCGAAUGUGGACAGAACUCCCCAGAUUCCAUCCCAUCUUCCCCAACAAUUAUACCAACAACUCCCAAGGCACCAGCUUCUACUGCUCGAGGUUAUUCAUCUUUUUCUUCUCCCCCAGGAUCAGGUUGGGAGUCAGCUAGCUCUUCACAUUUGGAGGACGGAGGAAACUAUCUGUACUGGUACACGAAGGACAACACACUAAAGAGGAAGCGGGUGUCCCUGUCACCUGUUCCAAUAUAUGUAACAAUGGCAGCUGGUGAAGUAAAAAAACGGGACAUUGUUGAUAGACUGGCUAAAGGAUCAUGUGAUGACGUUGUGAAAUGGUUGCUUGGUGGACAGACAAAUGAAAAUGUUAGCAUCCUGAAACAGAAAGUGAAGAGGGUGAAUGUGAAAUACAAAAAACUUCUGAAAAGCCAGCACAGAAAAACAGGAAAGGAAGCAAUAGAUACAUUUUUAGAAGAGACUUUUAGAUAUGGGAUUGAACGACAACAACAAGAACAGGAGCCAGAGGCACACACAUCCACCCUCGAGGGUGAACUUCGUAGAUUACACACUCCAUCCACGCAUGAAAUUUUGGUGGAGACAGUUCAGAGUGACAUGAAAAGAAAAGAUGAGAGAAUACAAGAAUUAGAAGAACGAGUGAAGCAACUCAAUAUCGAGAUGGAAAAUAAAAAUAAAGAGAUGGAAAAUACAAAUAGAGAGCGAGAAACUCUAAUGAGGAGAAUACGUGCGAAAAACUUGCAACUGAAAAGAGAAAGGGGAAAGCACAAGUAUUAUAGAGAGAAAUGUUCUGAACUUGAAAAGACACAACCAGAGUAUACUGAGGAAGUUACUCAGCAGGAGUCGGCUGACACAGAAGAUAUAGAAGAUAUUAGGAAGGAAGUUAUUGAAAUGGAAUAUAGAAUUUAUGUUCUGCAGGAAGAGGUAACCUCUGAUACAGUAGAACUAUACGACGAAGACAAUAAAGAGUUUACCCCACAAACACAACGGUGUGUUCAAAGUUUAUUGACUGAAAAUGUUGGAAUAAAUCAUGUGGGAAACGUAAUCAGAGAAGUUCUGAAACUUGUGGACAAAAAACCAAACAGAGUGCCCAGUCAUUCAACGAUUCGAAAUAUGAACUUACAGCGGCUUGUAAUCGCACAGAAGCAAAUUGCUGAGGAGGACCUUAGAGCAGGGGACUUGGUCGUGGAGGAGGAGGAAGACUAAAGUAAGCAUACAAUGCUAUUCACAAAAGCAAAACCCUACAAGGUGUAUCUGGCACAAGUGGCCCAACUGGAUGGAGCAAGAUUAUAAAGAAGUCAUCAUGAUGGAGGAUUAAACUGAGAAUUAACAAUCUCAGGUCAAAGGUCAACAAAAUGUCCAGAAAUAUGCCACCAGAAUCAGUGCCAUUAUAACAAGGGUGGAUUGCCAGAAGAGGGAUGAACGGAUACUGUUCUUGUCAUCUUGCCGAACGUAAAGGACCCAUUAACUUUUCAACGGAGGCAAGGAAACUGUGAAGGCUGUGAAAACACUGGUUGAAUUCAUGUCACUGAGUGUAAACAUGGAUACACCCCCUUAUCUGGUUCUAACCAUCUUCCAAGCAGAGGUGAGAGAGAUAGUCUACCAAAGAUGACACCAAUCUUCAAGACUUCAUCUACACGGAAUGUCUGGCGUGAAGGUCUUUGCUGAAGUAUGGUCAACAUAAGAAUGGAUUUGACACCAAACUCUUCAUAUCCACCCUUCAUCUUGUGUUAAUGAGGUUCCUAGUAUUCAUGAUAGAGAUAGUUUACAGGGAUAUUCUCUUGACACCAGUCAUUAUCUACAUUCUGUCUGGUCUUAGCCUUAUUUCAACUGGGCUUUUAAACAUUUUUCUGUUAUACAUGUAGAGUGUAGAUGAUGUUUGGUGUUAAGUGUAUGGCUAUGUGGAUUUAUAUUCCCAAGAAUGUCUAGAAUAUGAUUAAA